UGGGUUGAUCUAAGUGACUAAUGCAUGGGAAAUUUUUUUCUUUAAAGAAGUAAGGCCAGGAAGCAGAAAUUGCCAUCUACAGCCAACAACAGAGAUGCAGAUUCUUACUUUGGUCACUGAAUAAGGUAUUUUUCAAAUAUUCUCCAGUAUUUGGCAAGUUUGGCAUAUAGUAAACGCACAAUAAAUAUUUGUUGCAUGAAGAAAAAUUUUGGUAUUUUUGACUGCUUAUACUGAAAACAAUAACAUGAAUGUUUAUGGAGCAUUUACCACAUGCCAUGCAGUGUACUAAGCACUUUACUUUCAUUGUCUCCCUUAAUUUCAACAUCAACACCAUGAGGGUAUUAUCUGCAUUUUACAAAUGAAAAAAAAAAAAAACAAAAGCUCAUUGAAGUUAAGUCACUCACCCAAGGUCACAUAAGUAAUCAGUAGUAAAACCAGCCCGCAGGGCCAUACCAUGUUCUUAAUGCUGUACUGCUGCCCCUUGAAAGCAGCAUUUCUUAGCUUGAGCUUAGAAAACACUCAGGAUUGCUCCAGAUUCAAUGUGAUUUUAUUAGAUGGACCAAUUAUCCUCAGAGAAUCAGAGUGCUACCUUUAGCUAAGGUGUAAUUGGGAAGAGGCUACCUUCAUGGCAACUUCAAAUUUUUUCCUUAAUUCCCAGAAGAAUUUAGCUACUCACAAAAUACAAUGACAAUUCGGUGGUGCUUUGUUGAAAGUCAUAGGAACAGAUCUCCUGAGAGGAGUGAUGCUCCUUCCCUAAGGGAUAUCCUACCUCCUUACCUCCCUCAGUUACCCUCCCAAUCCCUGCACCAGGCGGAGUGUCAAGUUUUCCCAGGCAGGAUGAGAUCUAUACACCCUUGGCAUAUGGUGGGUUCUGCCUGGCUUUCUGCAGUGUUUGAUUAUGAUUGGCCUAGUUAAUUCAUUUUGUUGCAUGUUCACCCCUCCUUGGAAAUUGAACAGGAUUAAAUUGCAUUUAUAAAGCCCUGACAAAUCACCGUGUGAUUGAAAUCAGAAUAAAGACAAACACUGAGAUCAUUCUUUGAGGAAAUUCUGACAGCAUUUCUGGCUCAGCAGGAGUGUUUGUCCAGAGACUCACAUUAUCUCCUAGCCAUUGGGAUGCCCAGUUGUAAGCAUACUGACUACACAGUAAUAAAUGUAGGAUCUACAAUCAAAGACUAACCAGAGUGAAAAGCCAUACAUGAAAUUGUUUCCUCUUGAAUAAUCCUAAAACCCCAUUUUAGCAAAUAGUCCAAUUUAUUCUGUCUCCAAACUCGAGCUCACAAACAAGCUGUCACCAAAGUGGACUGAGUUAUACCCAUUUAUUUAAUUUCCCUUCCUUUGAGGAAAGUGCUAGAAAGCCUUAUGGUGACCAAAAGAAAGAAGUAUAACUAGCAUUAAAAAUUUAGAAAUAACAUUUUCUAAGUCAGAAAUAAUAAAAAGUUCCUGGACAUAAAAGUAAGGCAUAUUUUUAUUUUUAGGAUAUUUUGCUGAGCUAUGCAAUAAUUUCCAGCAUGAUUGCUUAGCCAGUCUUAGCCGCUCCCUAGUUUGUAAUACUGUACUUCCAAAUAAAUAGGUAAAUAAGUAGAAAGAAUUAAAAAGGUAUUCCCAUUUGUGAAAUCGCCGUUAAUCCCAUAUAACACUAUGAGAAAUUUUUACUAAUUUCAGUACAUGUUUUAUUUAGAAAUCUUUGGAUACUCACUUCAUAUGGCAUAAUUUUUGUAUUAAUAGUAUUUUAAUAUGAGAACCAAAUUUUUGAGGAUGAGAAACUGGAGCCCACCAUCAAAACAAGAAUGUCCUGUAAUCCCCUUUUAUUUCAAAGGUAACUAUAGAUCUGCUAUGAGUUUAUGGUAAUGAUGACUCAGGUUUCUAUAUUUCACAGUAAGAAAGUUAGUCUCAAUUUUUCCGUGAAAUGUAUCAAUCUAGUCAUUGGAUGACCUUUAGGGCUUUCCUGCUGAACAGGCUGUCAUCCCUAGAGAGGUUGAGUAUAAAAUAAGUGUACUGAUAUGGAAAUAUAAUAGCUUCCUUUAAUGGAAAAUUUCAUCUGUGAAGAAAACAGAUUCUUCUACCCUUUCCCCAUUCAAAAGAAAAAAAAUAACAAAAUACAGUCAAUUGAACUUAUGAUUUCUAGGCACCAAUGUUAAACAUCACAUUUAGGAAAUUUCUUAUUGCCAGAAUGUGCCUCAUAAUUUGUUUUAAGAAAUCAUCCCCAAGGUAAGACAAGCACAGAAUAUAAGCAGACAAACACUAAUUUGAAGGGAAAACACUUUGAGAGAGAUUGAAUCAGCACUUUAGGGUAUCAACAUUCAUUUCUUUACAAUGAGGCCUAUAAAAUAUAUUAUACAUCAAACUGUUGUUGAUCAUUAAAAGAUUUCCAGAAUACAGAAUGGUUACUUAACAAUCCUUACACAGCUGUAUGUUGUUUGCUUUGUAAGGUGACAACCAACUGGCCACAUGUAGAUUAUUUUAUAAGCAUCCCUCUGAGGAAGUGUAUCGAGAUGGCAGACAAAACACAUGCAUCUACUCCUGGCUCCAACCCAAGAAAAGACAGAUAUUUUAAAAUAAUAAAUUUAAUGAGCAUAUUAGAAAAUAAAAAUUUCAUCAGCAGACAAGAGAUUCUAAGGAAUCCUAGAAGAUAGAAAAUCAAAGGGGAGUGUAUUGACAAGAACAAAACCAGAGGGAAACACAGCCCAGACCAGGAGCAGGAGAGAAGGAAAAAGAGUAUUUAUCCUACCAGAUAUCAAACAUCAUAUGAAGCUCUAUUUUUAAAAGCAGUGUAAACAUAGUGCAGGAAUAGGCAAACAUACUAAUGGAACAAACAUAAAAUCUGAAAACAGACCCCUGUAUAUAUAGAAUUUGGUAUAUAAUAAAAGCGGUAUUUCAAACCACCAGGAAGAGUGGAUAUUUAAUGCAUGGUAUUGGCAAAAUCAAGUAACUAUUUCACAAGAAUAAAGUUUGUGCUCUGUAUUAUGUCUCACACAAAUUUCAGAUGAAACAAAGCCAUAUGUAAUCUAUUAAACACUGGAAUAAAAUGAAAAUAUUUUACAUUUUUAUAAAGGUAAAGAUUGACAUAUAUGGUUGUGAUAAAGACACCAUAAAUAAAGUUAAAACACACAACACAGCCUGGAAGAAAAUGCUUUUAACAUCUUCAGGUGAAAAAUAUUUGUAAAGAGUUCUUCCAAAUCAAUGAAAUAGCAAACUCAAUAGGAAAAUGGAUGAAGAUUAUAAACAAGUAAGACACAGAUAAAGAAAUAUGAAUAGCUAAAAAUUACAUAUAAGAAGAUGUGCAACCUUGUGAAUAAUCAGAAAGCAAAUUAAAGAGUUUUUGCCAUCAGACAAGAAAAAGCUGGAAGGCAUGUUAAUAUAUAGCUGUUGGGGUAGAAAAUCGGAUACUCCUAUACAGAAUUAUAGAAGUGAAUGGAUAUAAUCUUUUAGGGGGAGGCAAUAGUGUAUAUCUAUCCAUGGGGUAGGAAACAGGAUACUCCUGUAAAGAAUUAUAGCAAUGAAUGAAUGUAACCUUUUAGGGGGAGGCAAUCAUAUAUAUCUAUCCACAUUAAAAAUGUACAUGUAUUUUGACCCAGCAACACACUCACACACUCUGUCUCUAUAUAUAUAUAGAUAUCUAGAUAGAUCUAUAUAGAUAUCUAUCAAUAGAUAUCUAGAUAGAUAUCUAUCGAUAGAGAGUAUAUACAUAUAUACACACAUACACAUAUAUACAUAUAAUACGGAUAUAUAUGUGUAUAUAUCUAUUUUAGUUCAAUCACUCAUCUUACCAUCACAAUGUCCUUGAAUAUUCCAUAGCCACUUUCUCAUCUCCCACUCACUCUUUAACUUUCAGCAGUGUGGCUUAUCACCUUCAUCUCAGCCCAAUUCUAUUGAAACUCUUCUGGUGGGAAUCAUCAAUAACUACCUAAUUGUCACAUGCAAAGAAAUACUAGAGGUAUUUGUCCUUGAAAUACUUGAUGUUGUGGCCCAUGCCUUCUUGGAUAUUAUUUCUUCUUUUGGAGUCUAAGGCUCUUCACUCUUGUUUUUCUUUAUAACUCUGUCUACUUCGUUCACUCCUCUUUCUUUGACGGAGCCUUCGAAGCUGGUGUUCCCCAAGGAUUAUGGCCUGCCCUUCUCUUUCUUACUCUACAUUAUCUCAUUAGGUGAACUCAACCUAUGGCUGUUUACAGGCUCAAGAUUCUAAAUCAAUACUUUCAGCCCAGACACCUCUACUGAACUCUAGAGACCUAUGCCUCCACCAGAAUAUUCCACAGGCUUUCCAACAAUGUCAACAUGUUUCUUUCUAUUCUUUGCCUUGAUGAAAGCACUACCAUCUACCCAGUCACCAUAGAUAACUAGAAUCUUGGAAGCCAUCUGAGACUCUGCCAUCUCUCACCUCUCAUAUUCAAUCUGCCAAUAUAUACUAUAGAUUCUUUGUUAUACCUCUCGUAUCUGUGAUAUUCCCUAUCUCCACUGCUAGUGCAUUGAUUAAUGCCCUUAUCAUUUAUUCAAAGAGUUCUUACCUGGAAUUCACACACUUUAAGAGAUCUGUGAACCAUCUGAUAGUAUGUGUGAAUUAUGUGUGUGUAUAUACAUAUGUGAUUCUAAAAAGGGAUCUAAGGCCCCAAAAGGUGAAGAACAUUUAGCUUUGUCUAAUUGUUGAUACAGUCUCCUAAUUAUAUUCUUCCUACUUCUAGUCUCACCCUUCUGCCCUGUCCUUUAUCCUGCAGCCUUGCCUUUCCAAAUCAUAAAUCCAAUCAUAGUCCUCUUAUUUUAAAAUGCUGUAACACCAUACUAUUUUAAGAUAAGACCCAAACUUCUUUGUAAGGCCCUCUGUGAUCUGGCUCCUGCCAACUUUUAUGGUUUUUUUCUCUCUCAGAGUGCAGAGACAGUGUCUUGCUGUUUUUGUCACCUCCAGCAAAUAACGCAAUCCUUGGCUCAUAAAUGAUGACUGAAUGACUUUAAAGGAGAUACCAGUCUGGUUGUUUAUCACCAUCAAUUUCCUUUCAUAUAUUAAAAGAUAAGAGUGGAAAGAGGGUUGGAGAGAGAAAGAGCAUCUCAAAUAAUAGAAUGUGAUUAGAAAUUUUGCUAAGUAUAAACAGAAUCUUAUAAAUAUCAAAUCCCCAUUGCAAAGGCCAACACUUCUAAAAUAAUAUGAAAUAAAGUGAAUGGAGAAAUGUUCAACUUUUGAUGUGAGCUCAAUGUAGCUUUCUAUUGCCUCCAUUGAAAUAUGAAUAUUGUAAGAUUCAUGUCUCCUAACAUUUGAGUAAUAUUAAAAGAUGUGCUAGCCUAAAGUCUAUGCUAGAAAGUAGAAUCAAGACAUCAGUGUGUGGAGUUUACAAAUCAAGUAACUGAAGGUUAGAGAAUAGAAAAUAGGAAUAAAACAACCAACUUUUAUAUUUAAAGUACACAAAAAUGAAAGAGGUAGUUCUGAUUCUGAUAUUUUGAUAUAUUAUAGGUAAGAUAAUAACUUUAACAAAAUUCCUUCACAUAUAAAUCCUAAAAACUAUAGACUUCUCAAGAAUGUGUCAUUAUGUUGCAUUUGUGUGUGAUCAAACAUUGAAGGCAGGAGAGGAAAUGGAGAGAGAUGAAAGAAAAUGCCAUAUAUGUACCUGAGAGGGAAAAAGAAUUUCUGAAAAAUAUAUUGAGCUCUUGAAAAGGAAGUUUCCUACUUGCUUCAGUGAAAUAACAAUCUAACAUAAAGAAGGCAUUAUCAUUGCGUCAUGCAAAUAUUGACUGACUUGGCUAAUCAGGACUGUAUAUCAACAGCCUCUUUUUCCCUGGAGUCUGCAGUGACAGCUUUGUGUACUCUGCAGUCUCUUGUGCCUAAGCCAACAACUGAUAGAGUAUUAGAUCAAAGCCUUGAUACACAGAUGCCAGGCAAUUUGGUAUUAAACAAGCGAUAAGAGUACAAAAGAAGUCUCAAUGUACUUUCACCACAAUUUGAACAGCAAAUAGUUAAUUAGGUUGAUAAUAGAUGUCAACAUUUCAUAUGAUGUCAUGGUUCUAGAAGGUGUAACUUCUCUCACCCUGAGAUGGAAAACUAAAUGAUUUUAUUUUUUAAAAAAGCAAAUUUAAAUAUCAUUUCAUUAUUUAUGAUUUUUCUCAUCUGAAGCAUUUGGUUAAACAUAGUUUUAAUCAUUUCUUCAAGGUUUUUUUAAAUAAAGGGGCAGAAUGUAAUUUUUAUCUGCAUAAUUUAAGUGAGGUGUUUAAAAGAUGUGAUCAGCCAGUAAAGGUUUGCAUUCAAUGCAAAUAAUCAAGGCCUGAAUUCAUUAAGGAGUAUGGAGUUGUUGUUAUUUCCAGAUUUCUUUUUAGGUUUCUUAUACGUGAGUUAUAAAAUAUCUUGCCCACUCAUUCCAAAUAAACAGUGAUGUCAUGAAAUAUGAAACAGAUCUUCAUGACUUUUAUCUAAAUGAAAAGUAAAAUAACCAUCGACUUAUUUUCAGCAACUAAAUCAAAUAUCAGAAAAACUUGGUGCAUUAAAACUUUCUAUAUAAACAUACAAACAGGUCAAAAGUAUGAAAUGUUCCCAAGAAUAUUUCUUUAGCUAAGAAAUACAUAAAAUUAUUAGACCCUGUAUCCUCCCAGGUCUCUAAUAUUAAUUGUAAGGUAAAUAAUAAAUGACUUACUAGUACCAAAUGAAGUACUAAAUUCUUGGAGCCAAAUGUGUAAGUUGCAUUAUUUGUAUGUGAGGAGCGGGGAGAAGCCAAAAAGCAAAACCUCCACAGUUAGGGGAGAUGAAAAUAAGUAUCAUAACCUAACUCCACAGUUAGGUUAGGGGAGUUGAAAAUAAGUAUCAUAACAACUACAGACUUGAUAGGAUUUCACCAAAUAAGUGAAGUAUCACUACUUUAGUUGGAACAACCACAUAGUAAAUCUCUGGAAUACUACUUCCCUUUUCCAGAUUUUAUACUAAAAUCAAUGUAUAUUAACAGUGCCAUCUACUGCUCUGCAGUAACACUACAGUGUCCCAAAGUGGCCCAAUGAAUCCAAGGUGGUUAUUUUUAUUUUUACUGGGACAUCAUCACUGCAACUGGUCCAUGGUGCUAUUCUGAGGGUGCUAUGAAACAUGUUAAGCAAUUUAUGCCUGAGGUUGCAAUUUUUUGAAUUUUUCCAAUCAGACCUUGGUGAUGACCUUGAGCAGUAGGAUAUAAAUAACUCCCACAUGCUCAGCGUUCCAAUAAUGGAACACUAGGCAUAAGGCAUAUAGUCAUUGACUAACUGCCUUCUUUAUUUUUUUUAAAAAAGCCAGAUUUGCUUCCAGAUAGUGAUUCAUGGGAGCAACAAUGUAGUGAAAAAAGUAUUGAAGUAAAGAUCAGGAGAGCUGUGUUUUUGUUAUUGUUCUAUUAUUUGACCCCAUUUUUCUCUUUAGCCUUCAUAAUCCUGCCUGGCAUAAUGUUAACAAGAUGAUCCUUUAGGAUUUCUUUCUUACAGAAAAAAAUCCAUCAUGUUAUCACAUGGGAUGUGAAUUCUCUUCAUCAUACUUUUCAAACACUUUUCAAAUUUACUAAGGUUUCUUGAGUUGAGUGCAGGAAUUAUUAUUUAAAGUCUUUCUAACACAAAAUAAAAAUUAUUUAGAUAGAAACUAAAAUAUACAGGCAGUCAGUUUACUUAAUCUAGAGAAUUCCAAUACCUGGGUAAUUUCCAUUUGUUUAUGGUCUUGUUGACGGAGCUCAAAUCCAGCGAGAAUGGAAAAUGUUUCCCCCAUAAAAUUUACAUUAACUUUUUUUAACAUCAUGACCUAUGUGCCUUUUGAUGUGAUGCACUGAGAAGAAUGUGAUCUCAAUUAGUGUCAUAUUCCUGAUAAAAAGGUAUAACUGGAAUCUUAUGAGGAAACAUCAGGCAAACUCAAAUUAAUAGACUUUCUACAAAAAAAUUGCCCUGUAAUUUUCAAAAAUCUCAAAGUUGUGCAGGACAAAGGACACUAAACAGGCAUGACAACUAUUAAAUGCAAUGUGUAAUCUUGGAACGAGUCUUGGAGCAGGGGAAAAAUUGAUAUGGAAAAUAUUGGGACAACUGGCACAAUUUAAAUAUGGGCUAUCAGAUAAUAGUAUUGAAUCAGUAUUUACUCUCCUGAAUUUGAUGAAUACAUCAUGGUGAUGUAAGAAAACAUCAUUGUACUUAGGAAAUGCAUUCUGAAGUACUUGGGAGUAAAGGGGCACAACGUCUACAACUCGUAAAUGUUUCAAAACAAAAAUUUUGUGUGUGAGUGUGGAGAGAGAGAAUGUGAGCAAAUCUUAACAACUGAUGAAUUUGAGUGAAGGUAAACAGGAGCAGUUUUGUACAAUUCUUUCAACUUUUCUGUAGGUUCAAAAUUAUUUCAAAAUGAAAAGACAAAAAAUCACAGACACAUUUUCUUCUAUUUUAAACAUAAAUUUUAAAGCUGGAAGAGACUAAAGAAUACUAUUUAGCCCAAGUAUUACACUUUAUGAGGACACUUUACCCUGAAGAGAUUAAGAGGACUUCUUAAGGUCAUAUAGGCAAAGAAAGAACUAGCUCCUGACUUCCUACCUACUAUCCUUUCCAGCAAACCACACUGACUCUGUAAAAAGAUAGCAACACAGGUGCCGAAGUGCCAGUUCACCAGCAAAUAUGUUGCCCAAAUCUCCCAAGUUCCUCAUAGUACAAGCAAUUCAUCCUCAAACACUGCCGAGCUUGCUGGGCAUGAAGAGAUGACAAUGAGAAAGACCUAGACCUCUCCUUCGGGGAACUCAGAGACCAUGGAAGAGGUCACAGUGCACACAUAACCCAAACUGGGGCCUUUGAUCUGAUUCUGAGCCUGAAAUUACAUGUAAAGGGGUCAACUCUUGGGUUAACAAAACAGUUACAAGUAUUUUCUAUAGAUAGCACGCUUUGUUGGCUUAUGUCUUUUGUUACAUGAUAAAAGAUGAUAGAGUCAAACGUACAAAUGCUGGGGCUCUUAGGAUCCAACAUUAACACCCCUUUCCAGACUUUACGUUUUCUUAUACUGUAUAAAGCUCAUUAGAAGACAAGACGAAUGAGCCUAUUUUCUACAUUAAAGUGCCAGCAAUUACAGAGAUAAAAAAGAGAGAGGGAGAAAGAAAGAGGAAAAAAAUACAUCAAGAAGUAAGGGAGACAGAAGCGAGUCUCUUUAAUCCACAUACUUUACUGUUUUAUAAAACUUAUUAAACAGGAAAUUCUUAAUUGAUAAAAUGUUUUUAAAUGUGUAAAUUUUUGUCAUUCUUUCUGUCUGUGCCAUAACUUACAUAUUUAUGUUAGCUAUCUCAGCCCCUAGUGAGGUCUCACUUGUCACUUUCAUAUUAGCUUAUUCAUUUAAAAGGCAAUAAUUGUUAAAGAAAAAUGAUUGUUUUUCAUAAUGCUCAAAUGUCUGAUUAAUCUAGUCAAAAUCCUGCCAAUCAGCCAAAGUCUUGUCUAUAUAUUUGCUUCAGUAGCGCUAACAUACCAAGUCACCUAAUACCAAACAAUUUGAAUAACAUUCUACUCUUGUGAUUUUUUCCUCCUGAAUUGGCAAAAACUUUAAUCAACUUAUAAAUCAAAGAAUGUAAAAGUAUUAGACUGGGUCAGACCUACAUUUUCACCUGCCCAGGGCUCAUCCUACAACCAGGAAGCUUGCAAUGGUUGUGGACAUGCAUGUCUGUGCCCCUAAGGGUUCUCACAUCCCAACUUUGUUUCUCAUUCAUUGAAAUCUUUCCAUCUAUAAAUAUAUUGAAAAGUGAAUAAGAACAGAGGUGGCAGUGCUAUGUAGAAUUCCCAGAAGCAUCAAGCUACAGCUUCUGAAGUAUCUGCUUUUUGAAGGCAACUAGUAGUAGAAGAGAUAAUCUGUGGUCAAGAGAGUGGAUGGCGCAUCAGACCACCUUGUGUUGAGUCGUGGCUCUGCCAUUUACUGUUUUCUAUGUCUCAGUUCCUCAUCUGGAAAACGGGGUAAUAUGGUGACCUAGAUCAUGAGUCUGAGGCACAGAAGCUGAUGAAUAAAUGUCAGCUAUCACUAUGCAAAGUUUACUAACAACUUAGACUUUUCUUUUGCAUAUUUUUUACAAGGCCCUUUCACGCACAUCAGUGCUUCUUAACAUGCUUCUGCAGCAGAUGCUUGGAUUUGUUAAAAUGCAGACUCCAGGGCUCCACCCCAGAUUGAGUCAGAAUCUGAAGAGGUAAGGCCCUGGACACAGCAUUUUAACAUUUUACCCAGGAGUUUGAGAACUAGAAUAUUUUUCAUCUAUAUACAGUUCAUUUAUUUUGCUGCUUUUUAAAAUUUAAUUUUUAAGAAGUUUCAUCGUACAAACACUUAACAUGAGAUUUACCCUCUUAACAUAUGUUUAAGUGUGCAAUGCAACACUAUAGGCACAAUGUUGUACAGCAGAUCUCUAGAACUUAUCUUGCAUUACUGAAACUUCAUACCCAUUGAUUAGCAAUUUCCCAUUUCCUUCUCCCCACUCCCCCUGGCAACCACCAUUCUGCUCUGUUUCUAUGAGUUUGACUAUUUUAGAUACCUCAUAUAAACUGAAGCACACAAUAUUUCUCCUUCUGUCUUAUUUCGCUUAGCAUAAAAUAAUGUCCUCAGGUUCAGCCAUGUGCUAUUAUAGCAUAUCAUAGGAUUUCCCUUGUUUAUGGCUGAAUAAUAUUCCACUGUAUGUACAUAACAUUUUCUUUAUCCAUUCAUCCAUCAAAGGACGUUUAGAUUGUUUUCACCUCUUGGCUAUUUGUGAAUAGUGCUGUAACGAACAUGGAAAUGUUAAUAUCGCUUCAAGAUCCUGAUUUCAAUUCUUUUGGAUAAAUACCCAGAAUGGGAUUGCUGGAUCAUAUGGCAGUUCUAUAUUUAAAUUUUUGAGGAACCUCCAUACUGUUUCCCAUACUGACAGCACCAUUUUGCGUUCUCACCAAGUGUACAAGGGUUCCAGUUUCUCUGUAUCCUUGCCAACACUUCUGUCUCUUGAUAAGAGCCAUUCUAACAUGUAUGAAGUGAUAUCUCAUUGUCAUUUGAUUUGCAUAAGUGGCAUUGAGCAUAUUUUCAUAUAACUUUGGCCAUUUGAAUAACUUUUUUGGAACAAUGUCUCUUGAAGUCCUUCGCCCAUUUUUAAAGCAGGUUGUUUUUUGUUUUUUGUUUGUUUGUUUGUUUUGUGGGUGUGUUUUGUUUUUGUUUUGCUAACGAGUUAGAGUUUGCUGUUGAGUUAUAAAGAGUUCCUUAUGUGUUUUAGAAAUUAACCCGUUAUCUGAAAUAUGAUUUGUGAAUAUUUUCUGUCAUUCUAUAGGUUGCCUUUUUAUUCUGUGGAUUGUUUCCUUUGCUGUGAAGAAGAGUUUUAAUUUCAUAUAGUCCUACUUGUCUAUUUUUGCAUUUUUCGUCUGUGCUUUUGGUGUGAUAUUCAUGAAGUCAUUGCCAAGACCAAGGGCAUGCAACUUUCCCACUAUGUUUUCUUCUAGUUUUACACUUUCACGUCUUAUAUUUGAGUUUUUGAGCUUGUGUACAGUGUAAUAUAAGGGUUCAAUUUCAUUCUUUUGCAUGUGGAUAUCUGGUUUUCCAAACACCAUUUGUUAAACGGACCAUCCUUCCCCCAUUGCGUAUUGUUGGGGCCCUUGUCAAAGAUCAAUUGACUGUAUAAGCAUGGAUUUAUUUCUGGGCUUUUAUUUGGUUCCAUUGGUUUAUAUGUCUGUCUGUAUGCCAGUUCCACACUGUUUUAAUUAUUAUUGCUUUGUAAUAUAUUUGGAAAUCAGGAAUUCAGCUUUGAUUUUCCUUCUUAAGAUUGUUUUGGCUAUUCAGAGUCCUUUGUGGUUCCAUAUGAAUUUUAGAAUCGUUUUUUCUAUUUCCAUAAAAAAAUGUCAUUGGGAUUUUGAUAAGGAUUGCUUUCAAUUUAUAGAUCACUUUAGGUAGUAUGGACAUUUUUAACUAUGUUAAGUCUUCCAUUGCCUGAGCACAGAAUGUCUUUCCAUUUGUUUAUGUCUUUAAUUUCUUUCAUCAAUGUUUUACAGUUUUCAGUGUAUAAGUCUAUCACUACCUUAGUCAACUUUAUUCUUAAGUGUUUUAUUCUGUUUGAUGUUAUUAUAAAUGGGACUGUUUUCCUAAUUUCCUUUUCAGAUAGUUUGUUGCUAGCAUACAGAAAUGUAACUAAUUUUUGUCUGUUGAUUUUGUAUCCUACUACUUUAUUGAAUUCAUUCACUAAUUUUAACAGUUUUUUUUUUUUUUGGUGAAGUCUUUAGGGUUUUCUAUAUAUAAGAUCAUGUCAUCUACAAAUAGGUAAAAUUUUACCUCUUCCUUUUCGACCUUGGGCGUCUUUUCUUUCUUUUUUUAAUCUAAUUGCUCUGACCAGAACUUCUAAUAUUAUGAAUACAGUGGUGAGAGUGGGCAUCUUUGCCUUGCUCCUAAUCUCAGGAGAAAAGCUUUUUUUGCCAUUGAGUAUAAGGAUAGUUUGAUUCCUAGUUUGUUGAGUUUUUAACAUGAAAUGGCUUUGAAUUUUAUCAAAUGCUUUUCUCUGCAUUCAUUGAGUUGAUAAUGAUUUUAAUCCUUCAUUCUGUUAAUGUGGUGUAUCACAUUAAUUGGUGUCAUAUGUUGAACCAUUCUUGCAUCCCAGGGAUCAAACCCACUUUGUCAUGGUAUAUGAGCCUUUUAAUGUGCUGUUGAAUUUGGUUUGUUGUAUUUUGUUGAGGAUGUUUAAACUUGUAUUUAUUAUUUUAUUCAUUUCUCACUUAAAUUUACUGCCUUGCAAACCACAAUGCAUAAUGGUAAGAAGACAAAAUGUAAAUAAAUUGUCUUUGCCAAGAAAUAUGUGUAACAUGCCCAAGCCUAAAAAUAAUGCUCUAGCUGGCAAACACUUAGAUGGUAGACUGAUUAAAAGAACAUCAGUUACGUCUGUUCCUUAGGUUUCUGAGAAGCUUUGCGUUAGGCUAUACUAAUAGCUGGUAUUUACUACCAAAAAUGAUGUUCCUACUCUAAUAAGUUGUGCGCUGCCCACAAAGCUACUCUAAGAAAUUUGGCCUGUAAUCCUAGCACUUUGGGAAGCUGAGGUGGGUGAAUAGCUUGAGCCCAGGAGUUGGAGACCAGCCUGUGUAACACAGCAAAACGCUGUCUCUACAAAAUAUACAAAAAUUAGCUAGGUGUGGUGGCAGUGUGCCUAUAGUCCAGCUACUCAGGAGGCUGAGGUUGGAGAAUCAGUUGAGCCCUGGGAGGCUGAGGCUGCAGUGAGGUGUGAUUGUGCCACUGCACUCCAGCCUGGGCGACUUAAUGAAAUCCUGUCCCCCCACCAAAAAAAAUGGAGGCUGCAAGUCCCUAUUUGAAACAUGAGCUUCAGAAUAACAUUAGCUACCAAAACCCAGAAGUUCAAUGUCUGGCUCCUCUGGGGCAAUUUUCAUGUAUCUUACACGUAAGGUUUAUUCAUUCAACAAAUGUUUUUUGAGCACCUCCUAAUAUGCUAGGUACUAGUCUUGCAGAUGAUGGAUGCCCUAAAUCUAUUGGUCAAGCCCCUUUCUGCCACCACAUUUGUAAAUUCAACUAUAGUUCUAUAUGAAAAGUUUGUGAGAGUGGGACCUUAAGGAGUUAUGGGUGAGGGAGAGUGGAAGAGUAGAAUAUUUAAGAAGAAGGCAUUUGCAGAACUGAAAUAAACUGAUAUUAAAAUCUGUUGUAAUAAUAUACGCUCUCUGGUGAGUUCUCAUCCUUUCUCCCUGAUCAUAAAACAAAGAGAACAGAGAUACCUGGUGCUGCAUGGAGUUGCACCUGCAGAGACUAUGGUGGGAUUCUGCUGACAGCAUUCUUGGACAGAAAUGAAGAGGAGAGAAUGCCAAUGGAAAUAUGCAACUAUGUCUGUCCUUUCCAAAUUUGACUGUAUUCUCCUGCUGGAUUUCCCUCAUUCAGAAAAACAAAAAUUCAUGAGACCUUCUUUAUUAAUCAGAAACAGUAGUUUAUCCACCCCCAAAUUGUGACUGACAGUGGCACCAAGAGAUAUUUGGAGGGAUACCUGAUGUUGACCUCAAGGGUGAGGAAUGAACCCCAAGUGCCCUAAGUUCUUGUUAAAGGCAAGAUUUAACUUGUUUAUAGGGAAUAGUUUGCUUAGUCUACAAGAAAUAAACAACAUCAGGGUUUUGCUGUUUGCUUGCGAUUUUCCCUAGAUAAACUCAUUUGUCUGAGUUUAGAGUGCAUUGUGUUUGUUCCUUCAAAAACAUGAAAUUGUGGUGGUUUCAUUGAAAGGAUGAUUUAGCUUCCAUUUGCCACAAACAUUAAGUACUUUUCCUAUUUACUUUUUCCAGCUGUAUUUUUAGCUGUCACUGCAAAUUACCAGUGCUGCCAAAUAGACCGUCUGUACCUUGAAAUAUGAAACAGAAACCACAGUUCAGAUAACAUAAGGUUCCAUGAAUUUCAGAAAAUACACUGAAGAGGCCCCAUUUCCCUCCUAUCUCAGUUUCUGAAUUCUUCUGACAUAUUUGUCCUGGAAUUAAUAACAAAAUUCCAGAAGGACAUGCUGCACUAACUCUUGUUGGAAGUAAGAGGGAUGGAGAUUAUAUAAAAGAAAUGCCAAUCUCAUCAUUUAGUUACCAAAUUAUUCUGUCAGGUGGUAUUUGCAAUCCAGACCACCUCUGAGCUCUGAAUUAAGCCUAUAGUUUUUUACCUCUCCAAACUCGUGGAUCAGUCUUUAUCUGACAUCAAUUUCAUGCUUUCCUCUGUACAAAUUGGCAGCCAGUGCUUAUCCUCAUCACCACAUGGUGUGUCACAGAAUCAUUUCUUGAUAUAUGGCAGCUUCAGCUGUAUUUGUUCCCCUCAUUUCAUUAUUUUUCUCUAGGGGAUAUAUUUCAUCUCCAUACAAUCCUAGUUUGCUCAUUUCUAUACUAAUGGCUCCAAAGUAUUUAGUGGGAUUUUCAUUCAUACAUAGUCAGCACAAUAAGAUUUUGUGAGAAGGAUACAGGAGAAAAAUAGGAUCUCAUUAGAUAAUACAAUAAAAUUAUGAGAUUGUGUUUCCACAUUAAAAAGGUGUUUUCCCCUUCAUAUCAACAAAAUGAGAUAUUCUAAAAGUUAUAUUAGAAAAAUUAAAGAAGCUAGCAAUUUAAUUAGUCAAAUGGAAAGAUUUGGUUGAAACCCUUCACCAACCAACUUUGACAUGGUCUUCACAUACACAACUGGCAGGAUGUGGGCUAGAGACUGGUUAUUAGCUGAGCAUUGCUAGUGAUGGUGGAGAAUAUGAUUGACUUACUUAUGCAAGUCACCAUCUUCCCCAGUUUUUAGCAAUCAAAUCAUACCCAGUCACCUAGAGCCCAACUCAAAUCCCUCUUCUCCAUGAUACCUUCCUCGAUUAUCCCAAACAACAUGAUUUUUCCUUUCUUUGCAUUUCAGUUUUGUUGGCUUCUGUUUGUAAAGGGUCCAAAUACUUUUGAGAUGCCUACAGGAAACCAGCACCAAAGAGGUUCUGUGAUAUAGUGCCAGGAGGAAAUAUGGCUGCAUGGAAGUCCCCACUCUAAGCAAAAUUGCAACAUGUGACAUUAUUUGUAAUCCUAGGAGUUAAGCCUCCACUAUGGAGAAUAGAAAGCUAUGGUAAUGAAUGUGUUUACAGGGUACGAUUUUUUAAUCCAAAAGAACAAUAGUUUAGCUAUGGAUCUGACUUGGUUUCUUUUCCUCUAACCCAUCAAGAAUAGCUCCUUUUCUGGUCUAUUUAGAAAUCUUACUUUCUCCCUUAUCAUAUCCUUCCCCUAUUUCAUCUCCAGGGAAGAAGACAAAAGGGGGGCUAUGAUCAUCUUCUCUUCUAAUCUAUAGAGCUUAGGGUUAUUUUGUCAAGUCCUCGUGGAGGACUUGUAUACUUUUAUUUUUACAUAUUCAUACAUUUAUAUAUUUAUUUAUUGGGGACUGGAUACAACAGAAGCAUGCCCCCAUGGAUUCUGGGGGGAAAGUGGGGUGAAAAUGUCAAAAGACUGAUAAUAAACUGAGAUUCCCUUGCCUGGGAUGUUAAAAAAUCAAAGGAUAAUUUAUAAUAAACUUUUACAUUUAGACCAUUGUUAUCUAUCAAUAUUAAGGCUGGAUCAGAAAGAAAUAAGCUGAAAUGGUAGAAUAAGAAAUGGAAUUCAUUUAUUUAACUUUUAUUUUAGAUUCAUGGGGUACAUGUGCAGGUUUGUUACACAGCUAUAUUGCAUGAUGCUGAGGUUUGGGGUAUGAAUGAUCCCAUCACCUAGGUAGUGAGCAUAGAACCUAAUAUGUAGUUUUUCAGCCUUGCUCCCCUCUGCCCCUCCCCCCUCCCCCUCCCGACUCCCCCUCCCCCUCCCCUCCUCCCCAUUCCCCUUCCCCUUCUAGUAGUCCCCAGUGUCUUUUGUUCCCAUCUCUAUGUCUAUGCAUAACCAAUGCUUAGCUCCCACUUAUAAGUGAGAAUAUGUGAUAUUUGGUUUUCUGUUCAUGUUAGGUCACUUAGGAUAAUGGCACUCAGCCACAUCCAUGUUGCUGCAAAGGACAUGAUUUUCUUCUUUUUACGGUUGUGUAGCAUUUCAUGGUGUGGAUGUACCACAUUUUCUUUAUCAAAUCCACCAUCAAUGAGCACCUAGGUUGAUUCCAUGUCUUUGCUAUUGUGAAUAGUGCUACAAUGAACACAUGAGGGCAUGUGUCUCUUUGGUAGAACAAUUUAUUUUCUUUUGGGUAUUUACCCAGGAAGGGGAUUGCUGGGUCAAAUGGUAGUUCUGUCUUGAGUUCUUUGAGAAAUCUGUAAACUGCUUUCCACGGCAGCUGAAUUAAUUUACAUUCCCACCAACAGUGUGUAAGUGUUCCCUUUUUUCUGUAGCUUUGCCAGCAUCUAUUUUUUUUAAGACAUUUUAAAAAUAGCCAUUCUAAGUGAGAUGGUAUGUCAUUGUGGUUUUGACUUGCAUUUCUCUGAUUAGUGAUGUUGAGCAUUUUUCAUGUUUAUUGGCCACUUGUAUGUCUUCUUUUGAGAAAUGUCUCUUCAUGUCUUUUGCCCACUUUUUAAUGGGGUUAUUUUUUGCUUGUUCAGUUAAGUUCCUGUAUAGAUCCUAGAUAUUACACCUUUGACUGACACAUAGUUUGUGAACAUCUUCUCCCAUUCUGUAGGCUGCCUGUGUAUUCUGUUGAUAGUUUCUUUUGCUGUGCAGAUGCUCUUUAGUUUCUUUAGAUCAGAAAUCGAAUUUAGAUUUAAAAAAAUUUUUCAGAGCUGAAAUAGAAACAAAUUCCCCAAGAAUGUAGAAUCUUCUUCAUUGUCGGUGUUCAACAGGGUGGGUUUUCAUUUGUUGGAUAUGGUUUAAAUGGGGCAGAGUGAUGUGUAAGACAACAUUUUAAGAUUAAAAUCUAUGAAUCUGACAAACUAAUCGGAACUUUAACAUCUAGUACAUCAUGAUCACAAUACUCUAUCUAAAGCUGAGAUUAGGAGUGAAAGCAUAAUAGACAUAACUUCCUCCCAAUCAGUGUUAGUCUGUAUAUCAAGGCUGUGAUGUUGAUCUAAUUGGGAGUUUCAGCUGAUUCUGUCUUUACCAAGUUGAACACUAGUACCUUCUAUUAGUUAUUACGCAGCUAUUUUAAAAUAUGCUUUCUACAAGAUAGAAAGCAAAAGAGAAUGCUUUUGAAUACAAGUAUGUGAAAUUAUUUUGGGCACCAACAAAAUACCCAUUUUCAUGUAGCAGUGAAAUGUAUCCUAGCAUGGUCAUAAUCAGCAAAUGCAGUGAGUAAGUCAGAAGAGAAAAAAAGAUCGCUAUAAGGCAAAUAUGCAAAAAAUUUCAAAUGAUGGCUUUUAAAUAAACUUAGUCCGUAAUUAGAUUCAACAUUUUAAAAAUGUAUAUCAUUAUGAAUUAGCAAAUACUUAGAAAAAUCUCUGCCCUUUAUUAUUUCCUGUGAUUACAAAAGCAAUAAAGUAUAUUGCAAAACUUUUCAAGAAUAAAGUAUAACAAAUAUAGUAAAAAUCAUUUAUAUCCCCACUAUCCAAAGAUAAAUACCGUUAAGAUGUUAGAAUCAAUUUCCUCCCAGUUUUUUCUUUUCUUCCCAUGAUAUAAACAUUCACAUCAUUACAUUUCCUUCUAAAACAUUAUUUUUUAAUGUCUACAAAAUGUUCCAUCAAAGAGAUGCACUACAAAAUAUUUCAUCUUUUAUUGUUGCUGGAGAUUUCAGUCAGGCCUCAUGAAGAGUCAAGAGACAGAAGGCUCCCUACCUAGGUUAGACAGAAAGACAUUUAAUACAGGGACUAAGAAGCUGACAAAAUUGUAUAGGUUGUUGCAAAAGUAAUCGCGGCUUUUGCUGUUGAGUAAUGGCAAAAACCACAGUUACUUUUGCACCAAUCUAAUAAAUGGUUUUGAAAGAGUAGAUGCUAGGGGGCAUCAGAAGUGAUAGACGUGGGGCAGCCAGAGACCCUUGCUGAGACUGCUGACCUCAAGAACACACUGCCAUACAUAGCUGUGAGCCAAGAAGCAGGGCCAUUGCUACCACUGCUAUGGCCUCUCUUGAUACUCCCCAAAAAAGUGAUGGACGCUGGACUGCUUCUUCAGGAAAACGCAGCAUUGCCACCACCAUGUUUGUUUUCUGAUGUUUGUCAUCAGAAAAAAAACAAGAAAAACCUCGGUCAAUAGGAAGAUGUCCUCUGCUUCACUUUUACCUCCUAAAUAUCAUAUGAGUGCAUCUAGUGGGGGGAACCUAAUUUGCAGAUGGAUUCUAUAUGUAGGGUGGUAUAGGUAUUAGCUUUCCAGCCUCUGCAGAACAGAGAGGCCAGCAAGAACAAGGUUGGAGAAUGCUGACUGAGCCUGAUCCACCGAGUCCACCACGACUAUUGUCAGUAAGGCUGUGGGGAAUGUCUUUGACAUGGAUCUUUGUCUGCAUUACUGUUUACUUCCUUAGGAUAGAUUUCUGAAAGUGAAACUACUUAAGCAAAAGAAUAGAAAAUUUAAAGUGCUUGAUUUAUUUAUAUAUUGCCAAGUUGCUUUCCUGAAUAAUCAUAUCACUAUAUACAUAAUAUAUAGUAAGCAAAAUGUGAAAAUGAAAAUCUCAUCAUACCCAUACCAGUAUUGACUGUUGAGUCUUUUAAAAUAAAUCUUAUUGACAUUAAUUUUUUUAAAAGUCAGUACUUCUCCAUAUAAGAAUCAACAAUAACACUGUAAGGUAAAUCGUUAUUUCUAAAUAUAUUCAAAAUGAAAUUUACACCAACUCUUCAGUGAAGGUCCUCAGAUUCAAGACCACCAUCAAUGGUGGAAUCUGAUUAUAACAGUCUGGUUAUCCCCGUGUUAGUAAGAAAAACAAAGAAUCUCUCUAGGAUAUCCAAGGGCCUUUUAUGUUAUGUACACCACUAAAGAUCCAUUACAAAUGAAGUUCUCAACAACAACAUAGCCAAUCAUAUUGUUUGCCUUCAAAAGAGGCACUUGACAGAGAGCCUGUGCAGGCCCUCUGAAGUGAAAGGACCCUGGGUGUGUGGUGGAAGCAGAGGCUCUGCAGUAACAGUGAUGGCUGAGGCAAAAGGCUAGUGAUGGGAUACAGGUAUUUGAAGCUGAUUUUCUUACUAAAAACCAGUGGCAAUGUGAAGGUUUCCUGUCAUUUCCAUCAGCUCCUCUAAGCCACACCUAUUAGGCAAAUGAUUUAAAUAAAACUUGUCUCUUUUUAGACAAACAUACCUUCAAGGCAAAUCCUGGUUGCUCCAGAUCUGUUCAGGCUGUGGCCCCUAAUCCCUUCCUAUAUACAAAUCCUGGAAUUGUCACUCUUGGCACUUUUAGCACUUCUACCUCUUUUAGAGUAAAAGUUAAAAAGAUUCCCUAAAGAAUCUCCAGCCCUAGCUGGGUUCUAAUAACUCCAACUCUAUGCAGCUCAUAAAGCUAACACCGUUGUUCUGAAAAAUGACCAUAAUUAUCUCUAUGUAGAGACGGUUCAUUUCAUUCCAUGAAAGCCCCUCAGGCUACCUGAAAGGAAGAGGCUCAUAAAGACAAUCACUUAAGGCUGCUCCAGAGGUAGUGCUGCACCUGCUGCUUAUCGCUGUGAAAUUCAGAGUUCAUGUUCUCUUUUUU
rnacentral:lncRNA from 10 species